GUGCAGCAGUCGAGAAUAGUCUACAAUGGACGAAAGUCUGAUAGUGCGACGCCGUGUGUGCGAUUAAUUCCUUCGGGAUGUAAAGCACUUUUCUAUGAGAUAAAAGCUCUUUAGGUUAAUAGCUUAUUGAGACGGAUAUUAUUAUAGGAAUAAGCUCCGGCUAACUCCGUGCCAGCAGCCGCGGUAAUACGGAAGGAGCGAGCGUUGUCCGGAUUUACUAGGCGUAAAGGGCUAGUAGGCGACUAAUUAAGUUAUAUGUUAAAUCCACGGCUCAACUGUGGUCCUGCAUGUAAUACUGGUUAGAUAGAGUACUGUAGAGGAAGGCAGAAUUCCUGGAGUAGCGGUGGAAUGCGCAGAUAUCAGGAAGAAUACCAAAAGCGAAGGCAGCCUUCUGGGCAGUUACUGACGCUGAAUAGCGAAGGUGUGGGUAGCGAACAGGAUUAGAUACCCCUGUAGU
rnacentral:rRNA from 1 species